rnacentral:rRNA from 1 species
UACAGAGGUCCCAAGCGUUGUUCGGAUUCACUGGGCGUAAAGGGUGCGUAGGCGGUCGGGUAAGUUUGACGUGAAAUCUCCGGGCCUAACCCGGAAACUGCGUUGAAUACUAUCUGGCUAGAGGAAUGGAGGGGAGACUGGAAUACUUGGUGUAGCAGUGAAAUGCGUAGAUAUCAAGUGGAACACCAGUGGCGAAGGCGAGUCUCUGGACAUUUCCUGACGCUGAGGCACGAAAGCCAGGGGAGCAAACGGG